AACGUAGGUGGCAAGCGUUAUCCGGAUUUACUGGGCGUAAAGCGUGUGCAGGCGGUCUUGUAAGUGGGGUAUGAAAUCUCCGCGCUUAACGUGGAGGGGUUAUGCCAGACUGCGAGACUGGAACCCAUCAGAGGGACGUGGAAUUCCGGGUGUAGUGGUGAAAUGCGUAGAGAUCCGGAGGAACACCAGAGGCGAAAGCGGCGUCCUGGGGUGAGGUUGACGCUCAGACACGAAAGCAUGGGGAGCGAACGGG
rnacentral:rRNA from 1 species